UGGAAUUAUUUGCUGCCUGAGGUCACGAAAGCUGCUUCUGGAUCACAGGACGGGGUCUAUUUUGAGCAAAUGAGGUCAAUGAAGUUGCGGGGAGAAGCGCGCGGCGUUGCCCGUGACUUCCGCACGUGGGGCAUUUUUCCACCAAGAGAAGAAGUUUGGCUUUAGGGAUGAGAAAUGCAGAAGGACACCAGGGUGGAAUGUUAAUGUGUAUCAUCAUAAGAAGGAACACUUGUUUUGUUUACACAACUGUGUCUCCAGACCUGAAGCAUCACCAUGCGGAGAAUCAGCGGAAUUACUUCCAGGUUUUCCCCACGGUCCGCAUUUGGUACAUACUCGCCGACAGGCCCAAAGGCUGUCUCUGCUCUGAACUUCGAACAGUGAUCAUUGCAGAAUUACAGAGAAACUGAUGGGCGUUCAACCACUGGCUGAGAAAAUGUUUUUGUUAAAAACAGACACGUAAAAAGAGGGAUAGUGGUGGUACCUCAAACCCACAGCGGCAAUUCCCCGCGUGUUGGGAGGAAAAGCCACGUUUUUCUGCAUGUUGUCUAAUGAGACAAGGAGGUGGGGGACAGCGGGUCCAGAAUGGGGGUUCCCUGCGCCCCGAAGCUUGGCCUGCGGGAGGGACCACGUGUCCUUGUGUGGGGGUGACAACAUCCGCACUGCCCCCACCCCAAGACCCUGGAAAGCGGGAGGAUGCGUAGGCUGGAAUCUUCUUUUAAAAAUUAAAUAUCUAUUUGGAACAUGAACUAGAAAUACCGAUGGACAAGCACACUCUAUAAAUAGCAUCUCUGUCCUGGCUCGUGACUGCAUCCAGUCUGUGACCUUCGAAGGCCUCUGAAAGGGCAGAGCCCGCCGCGGCCGCUUUGGACGGUUCUUAUCCCCAGGCCGGGCUGAAGGGAGCGUCUGGGGCCGCCUGGUGGUGUCUCCAUAAACACAGAUAUCCUCAGGGCGCCAGGCCACCCCUCUCUUUCCAGACAUUCCCCCCACCCCGGAACGCCUCUCAUGGUGUGGAGACCACCCCCAGCCUGUCAAACCCACAGAGCUCCCACCUUCAAACGUGCCCUCUUUGCCUGCACCCUUGGAGGGCAGGAGCCGAGUCUGGCUUAGGGCUGUAUGGCUGGAUCUGACCGUGACACCGGAGGCCUGGCGAGUGGGUGAUCUGUGUCUCUCAAACUCAGUAAGCCCUCUCCAGGCCUGAGGAUGAGGGCUUGGCAUCCCCAGGAGGCAGAAAGGCGGACCCUCAAGCCCACCCAGACCUGCGGAAUCAAUCUGCGUCCAACCAGAUCCCCAGAUGCGGUCCAGGCACAGCUUUGAAAUGUGAGGAGCCAUGAAGAAUAGACUGGUGUGGGCGAGGCUCUGCUCAGGACAGGCUUUGCUUCUUACACAAAUUAUAGCUGUUGGGAGGCUUGAAGGGGACCAUUCUCACAUUCGAGGCCACACACCCAUUAGCUAAGACGUCAGGACCGCCGCUGUUCAGACGGAGAUUUCUGUGACAUCACUGACGUCCCUGCUUCAAAGACACCGCAGUCUCAGUACAACUGGCAUGUGAGUCCCACUUUCGGCUGAAUCUUGCACGUCGAGGGUGAAAGGCGGCAACUGCGUGUCAUGAAACACAGUCUACUCCUUCCUCUAAAGAUAAAGAAAAAACCCACCCUGUCGCAGCUUCUGAGUGAAUUUUACCUGGAACUUAACCCAUUUUCUGAUCCGUGAUCCACUUACUUGUGUGUUUAUCUUCUGUAUCAUUCCACAGUGGAACUGAGUUGCCUUCACACACACACAGACACACACACACACACACACACACACACACACACUAAAUAAAAAUUAAAACUAAGGAUUAUGCCA
ensembl:lncRNA